rnacentral:tRNA from 1 species
GGGGUUGUGGCUUAGUGGUAGAGCGCUAGCCUAGCAUGUGCAUGUGCCAGACGCCAGGUUCCAUCCUCAGCACCA